rnacentral:rRNA from 1 species
CCUACGGGAGGCAGCAGUGGGGAAUAUUGGGCAAUGGGCGCAAGCCUGACCCAGCAACGCCGCGUGAAGGAAGAAGGCUUUCGGGUUGUAAACUUCUUUUAUUCGGGACGAAACAGAUGGCGGUACCGAAUGAAUAAGCCGCGGCUAACUACGUGGCAGCAGCCGCGGUAAUACGUAGGUGGCAAGCGUUAUCCGGAUUUACUGGGUGUAAGGGGGGUGUAGGCGGUAGAGCAAGUCAGACGUGAAAUUCCAGGGCUCAACCGUGCAACUGCGUUUGAAACUGUGCGUCUUGAGUGAAGGAGAGGCAGGCGGAAUUCCGGGUGUAGCGGUGAAAUGCGUAGAUAUGAGGAGGAACACCAGUGGCGAAGGCGGCCUGCUGGACAUUAACUGACGCUGAGGCGCGAAAGCGUGGGGAGCAAACAGGAUUAGAUACCCGGGUAGUC